AAAUUAGUAGCACAUCUUCAUAUCAUCAUUCAUUAUUAAGUCAAGUCACUGGCACCAGUAAGGACAAUGUGGGAUAGCAUGUAUCAAAAAUGAUACAAAAAUCGUAGCUCUGACUUGAUCAGAAAUUUCAGAAGUCCAAACAUAAAGACAGAAUAAUUUGGCCUAUAUACAGCGAAUGAAACAUUUGAAUUUUGAAGAAUAAAUCAAUCCUCAAAAAGUAUGUAAAUUAAAGCAAAUGGUCGUGCAUGGUACAUGUGUAAUUGUGUAUUCCACUAG
rnacentral:misc_RNA from 1 species